UACGUAGGGUGCAAGCGUUGUCCGGAAUUAUUGGGCGUAAAGAGCUCGUAGGCGGUCUGUUGCGUCGGCUGUGAAAACCCGGGGCUCAACCCCGGGCCUGCAGCCGAUACGGGCAGACUAGAGUUCGGCAGGGGAGACUGGAAUUCCUGGUGUAGCGGUGAAAUGCGCAGAUAUCAGGAGAACACCGGUGGCGAAGGCGGCAU
rnacentral:rRNA from 1 species